AAUGCCUGGGUUGGACCUCUUUGUCUAGGACAGCCCAUGCACCAGGAUAGCCAUACAGAGGAGUUAGACCUCCAAAGCUGAGUGCUGUAACCUGAUGAAGAGGCAAUGGCAUUUCACAAUGUGUACUCCAUUCAUGGCUACCUGCUUAAAAUGAGGAAGGUGGAGAAGUAAGAAGAAAAGGCUCCUUUAAAUCUGUAGAGGAACUCUGGUGCCUGAUGCCUGAUGAGCUGUCCUGGAGUGUUAAAUACAAAUUAUCACAGUGCUCUCUUGGAUAAACUUCUCUACACUGGGCAGAUCACGUGCUUCAGAGACCAAAUCAACUCGCACCUAUCCACUGGCAACUUCCAUUCAAUGGCAGUGGCUUUGGCACAGCUAUCCAGGAUUUCGUAGCAGAAUUUGGGAAAUUUUUGCCACAAAAUUGGAGAAAAUGUGAUUAGAAAAUGGAAGAAGAGGCAGUAAAAAUUUUAUAUUGGGAUGCUGAGAUAUCAGUGCUGAGAUGCAUUGGGGGUAAUAUGAUCUAUGGCUUGGG